rnacentral:lncRNA from 10 species
UGUUGGGUAAUACAGAAAUAAAAACAUCUAUCAAGAAGGCAUUUUAAAAAUUAGAAUUUGUAAUUCUUAGAAAAUUUCCCAGGAAGUUAUCAGUAAAAUAUCUAUAAUGUAUUAUUACCCUUAUUCAUAAUGCUUAUUUUAAAAUGAUGUCUACAGAUGGUUGCUGACUUAACAACAGUUUGACUUAUGAUUUUUUGACUUUCAGGACAUAAUCCCAUCAUAAGUGGACAAGCAUCUGGACUUUUAUGCCUGGCACAAAUACAAAUGCUUUUGUAUUUGUAUAUGACUUACAUAGUGCAUCUUAUUGUAAUUAUUGUAUACACGGAUCUCUUCUCUACUAGCCUUGUGCUCCUUCUUAGCAGGUACCAUGUCUCCUCUAUAUCCCUAGAGCCUAGCACAGCCCUGGGACAUAGUAGGGGCUGAAUGAAUUUUGAUGGAUCAACCUGACCUGGACAGACCUAUCAUGAACCUGUUUCUACAACACUCUGUACCUUUUCUGGUAGAAUUAAUUUUAAUCAAUUUUUGGUCAUUGUCAUUGCUACUUACUUCCUCUUCAGUAUUAGGUUUUGAUCUUAUCACUAAGAGAAACAGUGUAUUUUCAUGGCAAGGCACAGAGUCUGCUAGACUAAAAAUCUGCCUUUGUAUUAUUAGAUGUGUGACUUUGUGCAAGUUAUUUAAUGUCCCCAUGUCUCAAUGUCUUUAUCUGUAAAAUGGAGAUAUUGACAGUACUCACCUCAUGGGGGUUUGUGGAGGAAAAAUUGUAGCUAAGUAAUGUUAUGGUUUUAAUGUGUCCCGUCUAAAAUUCAGGUGUUGAAACUUAAUGGCCAAUGUGAUAGCAUUAAGAGGUAAGCCCUUUAAGAGAUGAUUAAGCCGUGAGGGCUCCUCCCUCCUAAAAGGGAUUAAGGCCUUUACGAAAGAGGCUUCAUGCAGUGUUUGGCUUUCUUGCCUUUCUACAUUCUGUCAUGUGAAGACAGUGCUCCUCUCCUCUGCACGAAUCAGCAACAUGACACCAUCUUGGAAGCAGAGAGCAGCCCUAACCAGAUAACCAAAUCUGUUGGCACCGUUAUCUUAGAUUUCCCAGUCUCCAGAGCUGUGAGAAAAUUAAUUUCUGUUAUUUAUAAAUUAGUCUCCAGUAUUUGUUAUAGCAGCACAAAACAGAUGGACUAAGACAGACAUCUGAUGAGUUUAACACAGUACCUUGCACAUGAUGUCUUGAAAAAGCUUUCUGGGUUUAGACAUGGAAGAUUGGAAAUUGGAGGACAAGAAGCCUGGAUAUAGCUACCCCUCUCUUUUUCUCUGGAUUGGGGAGAGCCCCUUCUCGCAGUCUUGGCAGAAGCCACUGGAUUACUCAGUGAUUUUUUUUCCCAAAAUGAAAGGAAGAGGAGGAAGCCAGCUGCAGCUUUGACACUUGUAAUUGUACCCCAGUGCACUGACUAGAACUUCCAG